UGGGGAAAGGGGUAUGGCAGGUUAGCUCUGCAGCUCAAGCAUUUGUCAAGGACAGUGAUGUCACUGAGUGACGGGAAGCCCAAGUUCUAUUUCCCCAAAACAAAACUAGAAGACAUGAGAUUCUGCCUUUCACCUGAAAUGGUCACCAGGCUCUUCUUCUGUGUGGCUCUUUGUCUCCUGUGGGCAGGACACACGGAUGCUGGCAUCACCCAGAGUCCAAGAUACAAGAUAGCGAGCACAGGAAAGAAGGUGACUCUGGGAUGUCACCAGACAGAGAACUAUGACUAUAUGUACUGGUAUCGACAAGACCUGGGACAUGGGCUGAGGCUGAUCUAUUAUUCAAUCGAUAUUGGCAGCACUGAUAAAGGAGAAGUCUCCGAUGGGUACAAUGCGUCUAGAUCAAAUAAGGAGGAUUUCCAACUCAUACUGCUAUCUGUUGCCUCCUCCCAGACAUCUGUGUACUUCUGUGCCAACAACCUGGGACAGGGCCUGGGGCUUCUGAUUGCAUUUGAGGAUGAGGCCAUAUUAGAUGAUUCACAGCUGCCUCAGAAUUGA